rnacentral:tRNA from 1 species
GCUGAGGUAGCCAAGCGGCCUACGGCGCCGGUCUUGAAAACCGGUGGUGCAACGCACUACGUGAGUUCAAAUCUCACCCUCAGCGCCA